rnacentral:rRNA from 1 species
GAUGAACGCUGGCGGCGUGCCUAACACAUGCAAGUCGAACGGAAAGGCCCUGCUUUUGCGUGGCUCUCGAGUGGCGCACGGGUGUGUAACACGUGAGUAUCCUUCCCUUUACUUUCUGAUAACUUUAGGAAACUGCGGCUAAUACCGCAUAGGAGCUCCUGCUGCUUGGUGUGGGUUGGAAAGUUUCGGCGGUUGUGGAUGUACUCGCGGGUUAUGCGCUUGUUGGUGGGGUAGUUGCUUACGAAGCCUUUGACGGGUAGGCGGCCUGGGAGGGCUACCGGGCACAAGGGGACUGAGAGAGGGAGCAGAAGGGAACGGGAGGCAACGGGGGAAAAUAUUGCACAAUGAGGGGAAGCGUGAUGCAGAAACGCCGGGAGCGGGAUGACGGCCUACGGGGUGUGAACCGCUGUAGCCUGUGACGAAGCGUGAGUGACGGUAAUGAGUAAAGAAGCACCGGCUAACUACGUG